GACGAACGCUGGCGGCGUGCUUAACACAUGCAAGUCGAACGGAAAGGCCCUGCUUUUGUGGGGUGCUCGAGUGGCGAACGGGUGAGUAACACGUGAGUAACCUGCCCUUGUCUUUGGGAUAACUUCAGGAAACUGGGGCUAAUACCGGAUAGGAGCUCCUGCUGCAUGGUGGGGGUUGGAAAGUUUCGGCGGUUGGGGAUGGUCUCGCGGCUUAUCAGCUUGUUGGUGGGGUAGUGGCUUACCAAGGCUUUGACGGGUAGCCGGCCUGAGAGGGUGACCGGCCACAUUGGUACUGAGAUACGGCCCAGACUCCUACGGGAGGCAGUAGUGGGGAGUAUUGCACAAUGGGCGGAAGCCUGAUGCAGCGACGCCGCGUGCGGGAUGACGGCCUUCGGGUUGUAAACCGCUUUCGCCGGUGACGAAGCGUGAGUGACGGUAAUGGGUAAAGAAGCACCGGCUAACUACGUG
rnacentral:rRNA from 1 species